rnacentral:rRNA from 1 species
AGCGAACGCUGGCGGCGGGCCUAACACAUGCAAGUCGAACGAACUCUUCGGAGUUAGUGGCGGACGGGUGAGUAACACGUGGGAACGUGCCUUUAGGUUCGGAAUAACUCAGGGAAACUCGUGCUAAUACCGAAUGUGCCCUUCGGGGGAAAGAUUUAUCGCCUUUAGAGCGGCCCGCGUCUGAUUAGCUAGUUGGUGAGGUAAAGGCUCACCAAGGCGACGAUCAGUAGCUGGUCUGAGAGGAUGAUCAGCCACAUUGGGACUGAGACACGGCCCAAACUCCUACGGGAGGCAGCAGUGGGGAAUCUUGCGCAAUGGGCGAAAGCCUGACGCAGCCAUGCCGCGUGAAUGAUGAAGGUCUUAGGAUUGUAAAAUUCUUUCACCGGGGACGAUAAUGACGGUACCCGGAGAAGAAGCCCCGGCUAACUUCGUGCCAGCAGCCGCAGUAA